GCGCUGGUGGUCUAAUGGUUAUGAUCUUUCGCUUCCAACGAAAUGACCCGGGUUCGACUCCCGGCCGGCGCA
rnacentral:tRNA from 1 species